GAUGAAGAACGCAGCGAAAUGCGAUAAGUAAUGUGAAUUGCAGAAUUCAGUGAAUCAUCGAAUCUUUGAACGCACAUUGCGCCCGCUAGUAUUCUGGCGGGCAUGCCUGUUCGAGCGUCAUUUCAACCAUCAAGCCCUGUUUAGGCUUGUGUUGGGGCCCUGCGGUUGCCGCAGCCCCCUAAAUGCAGUGGCGGGCUCGUUGUCACUCCGAGCGCAGUAGCGUAUCUCGCUCUGGGCGUGACAGCUUGUACCGGCCGUGAAACUCUCACUAAGGUUGACCUCGGAUCAGGUAGGAAUACCCGCUGAACUUAAGCAUAUCAAUAAGCGGAGGA
rnacentral:misc_RNA from 1 species